UAAGGGAUGAUACACUACGUCUACUUGCCCCAGGCACACUGGGACUUGUAUCUUCUGUACCAAGUGCUAUUUGGAGAAAAAACAGGCAAGUUUACCCACCAGGCCAAUAGCACAGGCCACCAACAGGUACUGUAUGAUGUUUUUACUGCUCUAAUGUAGGGGAUGCCAAAAAUGAAGGUCAAAUAUAUAUUAUAUAUUUAUUAAAUAUUUUUGUUAAUUUUAUUUCCAUUUUUUUUAUCAGUAUUACAAUAUGGCAUGUAUUUUAUGUGAUUAUAUAUAUAAACACAAACAUACAUAUAAUAUGGGUGUAAAUGUAUGUAUAUUCAGGAAAGAGUAGGUGCACUCACAGGUCUUUUCUUAUAUAAUCUUGUGGAUGCAAUAUUAAAUGUUUAUUUUCAUUCUUUUGAUAAUUUCUUUAUUUGAUAUAGUUUCUAUCAGCAUAAUAUUUAUUUAAUAUUAGUAGACUCUUUUUUUUUCUUUACAAAUACAAUUUGCAUUUGCUAACCCAUUUUUUUUUUAAAUUUUUUUUUUUAUUAGACUAUGUGAAUUUUACAACAUAACCGUAACAAAUAAGUGCUACUUUAUAUCAACCGACCUUUUAAGAAUAAACUGCUUUAUCUGUUAACUAAAAUUUUGGCAUUCCUAAGCCUAGGUGGAAGUUUGAGCUAUACAGAUAAUAAAUAAUUUCCAAUAAUUAACAAAAGCACUUAAAAAUAACUGACAUGUAUACAAAGAAUAUUCAUUUUUUUUUUAAAGUUGAAGUGGAAUGAGUUUACUCUCAAGCCAGUUAAUUUAAACAGUAUCUAUCUGUUUUAGAUAUUUGCUGUGUAUACUUAAACUGGUUAGUUUGAAAGUUGUAACAAGACAUAUGAUUUAUACGUUUUCUAUCAGUGAUUAAUGCGCCUUAAUUAGCUAAUCUCAAAUCUAUUAUUUACAACAGAUGUAGACAAAACGAUAGCUACCUAUACAACUGUUCAGUCAAGUAAAAUUGCAAAAUGUGAAGAAAUGUAAAAAUGCAUGCAUUUAUAGAUCGAAAACCUUUUAAGGCUAAUACAAUCUAUACAAUACAUUGUUUCCACAAAUGUUAUAUAUUUUUUUAUUUAGUUUAAGUAAGUGUUUUAUUUUUUUACAAUAUUGAAAAAUAAUAUUAAUUAAAAAUACCUUUUUUAUUUUUUUAUUGUAAAUUUAUUAUUUUUCGUUCAAAUACAUUCUUAUUUUUAUGAUUUGUAAUGAAGACCUUGAGACAGAGGAAUUUAGUUACAGUUUGUGUGAUCUCAUUUGCGACUAUCGUUGUGUAAAUAUAGUUGGAAAAAAUUUAGUUUUAUAUAUAUAUAAAUAUAUAUAUAUGUGUGUGUGUGUGUGUAUGUGUUAUAUUUUUGAAGUAGCGUGUCCAGUUAAUAAAUAUGAAUUCCACUGUUGAAUGUUAAAAACGUGCAACAAAGCACAACUGAUAUGAUAUAAUGAUAUAAAACGGAAUAAUUAAAACCAUUGCAAAUCACUGUUUAUUCUUUGCGUUCUCAAAAAAUACAUUUCUCGUUUAAAUAAAUAGCAGUAAAUAAUUUUACAAUAAAUACAUUAUUGAGACAAUAUUUAUUAUUCAUUUUAUUUUUUUAAUGAAUAAAAAAAUUAUAUUUACGGCACCACUUAGCAAUAGUUUAAUAUUACUAAGACUACUGUAUAAUUUGCACAGCUACGUGGGACAUGAAAUAUAGAAUCAUGCAGCAUGUGGGGCAAUCUACAUUAUGUCACAUGAGUUUUAAUUACUCAUUUACUAAUUUCUGAAAUAUUGAACACCAUGUAACAUGAUAAAUAACAUAUGGUUGUCCGUAGUUCCACACAAAGGUUAACAUUAAUCAUAAAAUAAUAAUUAUUAUAGAUGUUCCUGACACAGCAACAUGUAUGCGUAUAUAACAUUAUAUAUAUAUAUAUAUAUAUAUAUAUAUAUAUAUAUAUAUAUAUAUAUAUAUAUAUAUAUAUAUAUAUAUAAUGUUGCCCCCCUCACGUGGCAAAUCCCUCCCCCUUUCCUAAAAUAAAUAUUCAAUACUUUCACUUUUAGCAGCAAAGCAUAAUAGGAACACUUUGCCCCCUUGCGGUCCACUGCACCCCAAGAUGCUUAAAAAAAUUAAUUAUUCCUGAAGUGGGGGUUUAAUUUGAAAUCCUUUUUUCCCCAAAUAAAUAUGAUGCAUAUUUAUUGCAGGAGAACUCUGUAUGUAUGUAUAUGUGUGUAUGUAUAUAUAUAUAUAUAUAUACCCAUAUAUGCAUACUAUUAUUAUUAUUAUUAUUAUGUGUGUUUAUAUAUAUAUAUUUAUAUUAUAUUUAUAAUCUACUAUUUAUUUUCAAAUUUGAAAAUAUGUGUAGCUGUCUAUAAAUAUUACUAAGCUUUUAAGAAAUGCAAUAGAAAUUCAUAAUUAUGUUCCAUUUUUCUCUUCAUUUAAAAUCUGAAUAAAUGGCAUCUGUUUAAUUUAAGCAAUAAAUACCCUGGAUCUUUGUCUUUUUGGUCUCAUCUCUAAAGAUUAUUAAUCUCUGCUGUAUUUCCACAGUAAAGAAAUGGAUUAAGACUGGUAUCAAGGAUUAUUCCUUCAUGCCACACAGAUGGAGCCAUACUGUACACAAAAACACAAAGAAAUCUGUGUGUGUGUGUUUAGUGGUGGGGGUAUGGGCACGUGUUAAUAAUUGAAUAAAACAGAUUAAUUUGUAUCAAUAUAUAUAUAUUUUUAUAUACAUUUCUUUUUCUUUUUUUCUUAAAUCCAUUUAAAGUUUACUAGAUAUUCGUUAAUGUUUUGGGUUUCUAGGGUGCAUAUUGACAGAAAUUUAAAUUGUUUGUUUGCAGAUGAGAACAGAUUUGCAAUCCCCAAAACACAAACACACAGUAACAUAGUAUACCUCAGAUGUCGUGCAUAAAAAAAUGGUUUAUCGAUUGAAAUAAUAGAAGCAUUAUUUUGAUUUGUCCUGACAUGAUGGCUGAUUUAUAGAUCCCCCCUCUGCAUUGAUUUCUGUGUGUUGUCCAUUCACAUGGAAAUGAUAAAAUCUCACCAAAAUGCACUCUCGUGUUAAUCAAGAAUGCUAGAUACACAUUAGAAAAACUGCCAUUUUAUUUAUGGUUUGUCCUGGCCAUGGGGGUUUACUCAAAGUAUUGUAUGUGCCUUGGAUUGACUUUUUGAUACAUGUGUUUUCACUUUACACUUUCAAGUAACUGUAGCAGACAAUAGUGUGAGAGACAUUUAGAAAUAUAAGGAGACAGACCUGCAUAUGUGUUUCAUUUCUCUGGGACAGAGGGAGAAAGCAAACUGCAAAAGGUUUGUAAGAAUACAUACAGAAACAUUCAAGUUCAAGGCUGGGACGCUGAGAAAGAAAAGAAAGGGGACAUUAUAUAUAUGAAUACUGAUGAAAUAUGUGUGCAUGUGUUUUUGUGUGUCUGUGUUUGUGUGUGUGUGUGUGUGUGUGUGUGUGUCAGGCAUAGGAGAGUAGAUGUAUUGGGUGAAGGGAAUUCAGGACAGAUUAGUGUAGUUAGUCAUUACAGACAAUAGAGGAUAUUCCCCAGGUAUCACUGCUUUCCAUUCUCUACUUUGCCAUCCCAGGUAGGUAACUGUAUAGGAGCAUGUAUGGUGCAUAUAUUGUCACAUGACAUCAGCACACAGAUUGUAUGACUAAAUAAAAGCUUCAGGCAGGUAAGUGCUCAUUUAUUGUAUUUUAAUUGUCUCUGCUUUGUGUAUGUGUUACCCAAUGAAUGUCUCUCCAGGGUUCAAAUACAGGUUCUUUUUGGUGAACAGGGAAAGAAGGAUCUAAAUGGUGGAGUAAGGUUUUUGUUUUUUUCAAGGGCAUCCUGCUUGUGUCAUGUGGAGCACACCAUAUAUUCUUCAUUGAUCUGGCAGAUUGGACAAAAAGUAAAAGGGGUGGCGUGUGGAUUUAAUGGCAGUGAAAGUAUUAGAGGGGAUCAGAUUGAGAGAGGGAGAGAGAGAUUCUGAACAUCUGUCUAAUGCAGCCAAUACAAGUGACAUUAGUGAUAUUGGAGAGAGCAAGUCUGCAGCCCAGUGAGCUGGGAUUAGAAGGGCAUCCUCAAUCCGAUUACAGACUGCUUCCCCCAUGCCAGCCACACUGCAUACACAGCCCAGACCUCCUCUCAAUACAAUAACAGGAAUCUGAAUAGUUAACACCUUGCAAGCCAGAAGGUGCAAUGCUUUAUCACUUAUUGAUUCACUGAUGUGGAAAUUUUUUUUUCACUAAUUCUCUAAAGAUUUGGUCAAAUAUAUAUCAACACACAGAAAUAGCAUCAACAUUAGAAUAUUAUAUUAGACUAUGUAGCACUUUCAUCGCUCCAUGUGCAUAAUGUGUGUGUUUAUAUGUUCGUUCUUUCUCUCUCCCUCUUUCUUUCGCUGUGUGCAGACUGUCACAGUAUACAGCUUAGCAGUCUCUGUGUUUUUGAAGUGCUGUGUCCCCCUGUCACAGUAUAUAGCCUAGCAGUCUCUGUGUUUUGCAAGUGAUCUGUCCCCCUGUCUCAGUAUAUAGCCUAGCAGUCUCUGUGUUUUGGAAUUGCUGUGUGCAGACUGUCACAGUAUACAGCCUAGCAGUCUCUGUGUUUUGGAAGUGCUGUGCCCCCCUGUCUCAGUAUACAGCCUAGCAGUCUCUGUGUUUUGGAAGUGCAGUGCCCCCCUGUCUCAGUAUAUAGCCUAGCAGUCUCUGUGUUUUGGAAGUGCUGUGUGUCCCUGUCACAGUAUACAGCCUAGCAGUCUCUGUGUUUUGGAAGUGCUGUGCCCCCCUGUCUCGGUAUAUAGCCUAGCAGUCACUGUGCUCUGAAAGUGCUGUGUCCCCGUCUCAGUGUAUAGCCUAGCAGUCUCUGUGUUUUGGAAGUGCUGUGUGUCCCUUUCACAGUAUACAGCCUAGCAGUCACUGUGUUUUGGAAGUGCUGUGUGUCCCUUUCACAGUAUACAGCCUAGCAGUCUCUGUGUUUUGGAAGUGCUGUGUGCAGCCUGUCUCAGUAUAUAGCCCAGUAGUCUGUGUUUUGGAAGUGCUGUGUGCAGACUGUCACAGUAUACAGCCUAGCAGUCACUGUGUUUUGGAAGUGCUGUGUGUUCCUGUCUCAGUAUAUAGCCUAGCAGUCUCUGUGUUUUGGAAGUGCUGUGUCCCCCUAUCUCAGGAUACAGCCUAGCAGUCUGUGUUGUGGAAGUGCUGUGUCCCCCUGUCUCGGGAUACAACCUAGCAGUCACUGUGUUUUGGAAGUACUUUGUGUCCCUGUCUCAGUAUAUAGCCUAGCAGUCUCUGUGUUUUGGAAGUGCUGUGUCCCCCUGUCUCAGUUUAUAGCCUAGCAGUCUCUGUGUUUUGGAAGUGCUGUGCCCCCCUGUCUCAGCAUACAACCUAGCAGUCAUUGUGUUUUGGAAGUACUGUGUGUCCCUGUCUCAGUAUAUAGCCUAGCAGUCUCUGUGUUUUGGAAGUGCUGUGCCCCCCUGUCUCAGGAUACAACCUAGCAGUCACUGUGUUUUGGAAGUACUGUGUGUCCCUGUCUCAGUAUAUAGCCUAGCAGUCUCCGUGUUUUGGAAGUGCUGUGCCCCCCUGUCUCAGGAUAUAGCCCAGUAGUCUGUGUUUUGGAAGUGCUGUGUGCAGACUGUCACAGUAUACAGCCUAGCAGUCACUGUGUUUUGGAAGUGCUGUGUGUUCCUGUCUCAGUAUAUAGCCUAGCAGUCUCUGUGUUUUGGAAGUGCUGUAUCCCCCUAUCUCAGUAUAUAGCCUAGCAGUCUCUGUGUUUUGGAAGUGCUGUGUCCCCCUAUCUCAGAAUACAGCCUAGCAGUCUGUGUUGUGGAAGUGCUGUGUCCCCCUGUCUCAGUAUAUAGACUAGCAGUCUCUGUGUUUUGGAAGUGCUGUGCCCCCCUGUCUCAGGAUACAACCUAGCAGUCACUGUGUUUUGGAAGUACUUUGUGUCCCUGUCUCAGUAUAUAGCCUAGCAGUCUCUGUGAUUUGGAAGUGCUGUGCCCCCCUGUCUCAGUAUAUAGCCUAGCAGUCUCUGUGUUUUGGAAGUGCUGUGUCCCCGUCUCUGUGUAUAGCCUAGCAGUCUUUGUGUUUUGGAAGUGCUGUGUGCAGCCUGUCUCGGUAUAUAGCCUAGCAGUCUCUGUGUUUUGGAAGUGCUGUGUCCAGCUUGUCUCAGUAUAUAGCCUAGCAGUCAGUGGCGUACUAAGGGGGGAGCGGCAGGGGCGGUCCCCGGGUGCCACUCACUAGGGGGGUGCCCGGGGUGAACUUUCACAGGGCGGCAUUCCCAACUAGCAGCAGCAGGUCCUCUGUUCUCGCGAUCCGCGAGAGCGUUGCCAUGGCUUGCCAUAGCAACCCACAGCAACGCUCUCGCGGAUCGCUAGAACAGAGGACCCUGCUGCUGGAUGGGAAACGAGGAUGCAGAGUUCUGGGCCCCUUUACUGCCCAUCUAAUGCUAUGCCAUCGGACCACCAGUCGAGGAGGAUGGGACAGGCAGGUAAGUGCCAGCACUUAUUUCACACAACAUACACACACUAUACACACACUGCAUACACACUACACACGGCACACACUAUACACACACUGCAUACACACUUCAUACACUAUACACACACUGCACACACUAUACACACACUUCAUACACUAUACACACACUGCAUGCACACACUAUACACACACUAUACACCCACUGCACACACUAUACAAACUGCAUCCACUACGCAAACACACAUACUUAUACAUGUGUAUCUGUAUGUCUGUGUAUCUGUAUGUGUAUGUGUUUGUGUGUCUGUGUAUCUGUAGGUAUGCGUCUAUCUGUAUGUGUGCCUGUGUCUCUUCCUGUAUGUGUCUGUAUCUGUGUAUGACUGUGUUUCUAUUUAACUGCAUGUGUGUCUGUGUAUCUGUAUGUGUGCCAGUGUGUGUAUAUGUGAGUAUAUGUACAUACAUCUCAGCAUUUCGUCUACACUACACACAAAUACAACCCUGCAUCCAAAUGUCAACACUACAUAAAAGGACACCACCAUAUUCAAAAACCAAUACGUGGAAACACACCCGUACAUUCACUCACACAAACUCCAUACAAAAACAUGCUUACGUUAAAAAUAUACAAACACUGCUCAGUGCCAAAUACAUUAAAAAAAUGUGCAGUUGUUUUUUACAUUUAAAGUUGGUAAGGGGUGGGGGGGUGCCAAAUAAAGGAUCCGCCCCGGGUGCCAAAUGCUCCAGGUAUGCCCCUGCUAGCAGUCACUGUGUUUUGGAAGUGCUGUGUGCAGCCUGUCUGGGUUAGAUUGCUAGAGUCCCCCAGUAAUUGCUUUGCAUUUAAUAAAAGGGUGAGAGAGGAAUCCUCCCCAUGGCUGUGUAAAAGGCAGAACACGUUUCAUUACAUCAUUGGAAGGAAGUAAUGUACAGUCUGAGUGGGCACUGGACCGUGUUAUGGGCAUCAUGCAGCUAAAUAUCUCCCAAAAUCUACUUGUUAGGAGGAAAUUGAGCAUAAAGAUACUGGGGAAUUAAGGGACCCCGGCAGGGAAAGGUUAAUAGAUAUUACUGUGCGUCCUGUAGGGAAGGAAACUACUUUUCCUGGAGUGUUCUAAAUGAUUAUAAUGAAUGCACUGGGUAUCUAAUAAACUCUGCUGUCAUCCUGAGGAGCACUGUACAUUUCCUAUUGUAAUAACCCCAUUCCUUCCUGUUUCUCUGUGUCAUCCUACUGCUUUGUGUCUCUUCCUCUCUUAUGUUUAUAAUUUCUCAUUCCCAACUUCAUGUCUGUCUGUCUGCCCAUUUACUAAACAGCGAGUUCUGUGACUUCAGAUUAGAAUUUUAUCGCAGCUGCACUAUGUCUGUGUGUUCUCUCUUGUUCAUUCAUAGCCUGUCUGUGCUUCAUAAAUGCUUAUAUGUGUGCAUUAAACUCUCAUUCAGACAUUUUUAGCCAUUUGUUUACUGGCCGGUAAAAUGAAUGAUGUCCAUAUGUCCAUAUUGUAUAAAAAUAAAUUGCAUAUUGAAUGUAGUUUUUACAUGCACUUUGUUAUUUAUUAUUUGUCAUUCAGACAUUUAAUUAGAAUGGAGGGGUUCCUCUUUGCAUAAUCCCCAGUGUGAGAUCAUUUAAUCCCUAACCCCCAUCCGACUGCCUGGGGUACAAUGGGCAGUGGCAGUGGGUGAGGGUGUUAAAUAUCAGAGGAGCACAGCAGCCACCUGCAAUAGUACUUCCUAUGUCCCUCACAUAUGUGCAGAGGAUGGGAGUUACAAAAUAAAGUCAAUGGGGUUAAAAAUAAUGCCAUCCUUCUAAUACCUGCCCUUUAGGAACAAACCUGUACACCAACUAAGGAACAAUGGCUUGAUAAGAUAGAAGAGAUUUAAACUGCAGAAGUGAUUCAGGCGUCUAUUCUAGGUAACACCACAAAACAUGUAAAUGCUUGGUACCCAUGGUUAGAUUAUUUAUUGCAGUGUAAUAAUAAGUUUAACGAUACAGAGGUAACUCAAAAUUUAGGAGUUGAUGGUGAGCAGGAAAUUGUGAUAUAAUAAUCCUUUGUUCCAACUACUCUUAUAAAUACGACUUAACUAUCUACUUCAUCUCCAGUUUCAAUCUCUCUGUCUUUUAUUUGACUUUGUUUUAUUUAUUUAUUUUAUUGUUCCUUUCUUCUUCCAUUUCUUACUCGAGGAAAAACUGCAACGUACUACGAAAUUUAUUUACUUCUAAACUGACAUACGAUCCAAAGUCUAUAGAAUCAACAAAACAAUUUAACACGAUGUAAAGUGUGAUACCAACUGAGCCGUUUCCUUCUUUUGAGGAGCAAAUUAUUUAGUUUAUGCCUUCUUUCAAUUUGAGAGAUACAUUUACUACAGUAAUUUGUUGACCUGAUAUGGACAAAUCAAAGAAGGAUGCUAUUUCUUGUGACAUGUAUGAAAAUAAAAUAAUUUGCUAUAUGUCCUUAAGUUAUAAACCAACAUAUGUUUCUCUGUUAUACAUAGUAACAUGAUAAUAUGCCUUGAUACACUGCUUGACUUAUUGUAGUCUUUAAAAUAUUGGAAUAAGUUAUUGUUAUGAAAUGUUAUAUCCUGUAAUACUAUCUUGUUUAAAAAAAAAAUUGAUUGGGGCAAAAAAAUAAAAAAAUAAAGCCAUCCCUAUAACCUGGGCUCUGGUUGGGGACAAAUAGUAAAGGGGCGUGCACAAGACUAGGCAUGGUGGGAGGGGCUAGAAGAAAGGUCUAUUUUUGUUGGAAUUUGAGGCACUCAAAGGGUUAACUUCACAUGGGGUGCACAUUUUAUUAACAAUAUUAAUAUUAACAAAAUUCAGAUGAACUGAAAGGUCUCCACAAAAGUAAAUUUAUCAAGAACUCAAAAUGAAAAAAAAAUAUAUAUUCACUAGGAACACUUCAAUCAAGCCCCCCCCCCCCUAUAUUACAAAUCCCUUUCCUACCACCCUCCCUCCAUCUAUGAUUCCCUCCCUCUCUCUCACCUCUAUUCUCCCACUCAUUCAUUCAUUCCUUCUUUUGAUUAUAUGUAGUAAACUAUGUGUGUUGUAUUAGUUGAGUUAAUUUUGUUUUACAUACAAUUUUAACAUUUGCCUUUGUAGAUCUCUCACUCUCUUUAUAUAUCGACUCUAUUUAUCUGCCUCUGGUUCUCUGUACUUUUAUUGUUUGUUCUAAUUGUUGUGUUAUUCAUUGUCUACCAGGAUAGGUAGCGACCUUUAAGUAGGAGGUAGUUUGAGCUAUUUUGAUGACUUAUAAAUUUGUAUUACAAAAAAAGUUAGUUUUUUUUUUUCAAUGGCUACAAUUUUAAUAUCAACUGGCGUGCAGUUUUCCAGACAGAAUGUUAGAACAAAGUUCUUCUGCACUAGAACCCACUGUUUAGUGAGUAAACCCCUUAUAGGACAAAGCAGUUUGCGGUCUGCUCAAGUAACAGUUAGGAGGAGAUUACUUCAGAAUUGACUUGCAAACUUUGAAUUAAAAUAACCACAGCGAAACAAAUCCAACUUUAUGAACUGGAGGUUUUUUUCCCAUCCCCGUCUAGUCCGUCACAUUAAAGCAACAUUGCAAAACUAUAUAAAAUUAAACAUAUACACGCUCAUUCGCUAUUCCAGAUGAAUUCAAAGUGAAUUUCAAAUUCAAGGACAAAAUAGACAAAUUGGAAAAGUUAGCUAUAUUUUCCAUUCAUCUACUUUGGUCUUAAAUUUGAAAUUUACUUGGAUUCACCUUGAAUUCUCACUUUAGUGAAUAACCCUGGGAGAAGAUUAUUUCACUGAGCACCAAUCUAUAGGGCCUAGGCAUUGAAAACCGUAUUGCAAAAUGUUCAACUGGAGCAACCUUUUCCUGCUGCAAAAGGUAGGCAACAAUUACUGAUCUGCAAAAAAAUGUACUUCAUUAUGGUCACAGCUUGUGUUCAAUACAAUUCAGUGUUGUGUAAAUAAAUUCAAUGGGUAGAGGUGCGCUUACAGUAUAUAAGUAAAGGUUUAAAUUUGUUUGGGACUUGUAAAUACGGUUAACAAAGUGCUUUAACGGUACUGAUUAAUACAAAAACAAACAAACCGCUCAGUGUGCUUGUAUCAGGGAGGAUUUUAAGCUAAUACAACCAAAUUGCAAAAUUUAGACCAACAUCUUUUUUGCCUAAAUUUUGCAAAUCAUGGUUUUGUGAAUAAAGCCCUUAAUCAAAAUAUGUACAUCCGUGGUUAGAAUAGUAAUGAAGAAUCUUAGCAAAAUUAAAAGUACAUUUAUAUUACAGUAAAAUAUUUCAGUAGAUCUUACUUUUUCAUCCAUCUCACUUUUAUUUUUUUAUGCAAAUUACCAGUUAAGUAUUUUGAAGAAUAUAAUUCUCAGAUAAUACACAAAUUGCAUCUUAUUUAGUUCUAUGGCUACGUUAUAUGAUGUCGGACAUCUAAGAGAUUUUUGCCAACACUGAGGGGUUUAUUUAAUGAUUACUGAGUAUUCAGUGACAAUAAUAACAGAGUUCUGACAAUAUCUGAGUUGGAGACUUUAUCCACAUCAGCUAUUUUUCCUGACCUUGUGCAAGUUGGCCUUCAAUUCACUUUAGUUUGGUGUUUAGUGAAAAUUGCCUUUUUGAACAGUUAAAAACACAAUCUACAGGAGUUUAUUUGGUAGUAAGACUAAAUAAGUGCUACAAUUAUAGACUUUUUCCAAAUCAGCUACUUUUUCCAAAUCUCUUAAAGCAGAUCUGUCACUUUUCAGUAUUUCACAAAGAUAUCAUCUUUACAAAUACUGAAUAAUAUCCAAAGUUCUCAUAAAACAAAGUAGGGACUAUUUUUUUUCUUAUGGCAAAGCCUGUGGUUGACAAAAGGAGGAGCUCCUCUGUUAACUUGUGUCCAGUCCCAGCAGCCAUCACAAAUGACAGCUGUACAAUUCAGAAAGACCACAGGAUCCUCCAUAGACCUCAUUGAUGCACACUUGUGCAUGCGCAAUUGUAAAGCACCGAUGUGGCACCUGCCAAAGAAAUCUGCAGAGUUAAUAUGGCAGUGGUCGUGAAGGAGAGCAUGAGGUAUGUAAAACUCACCUCCCCUGCCCCCUAGGGCUACCGGACCCACACAGGAUCUGUCCUUUUUCCGAAUUGGAAAAAGAGAAAAAUAGAAAAUUCACAACCUUUUCUUAUUGCUAAGUGGAUGUGAAUGUGCACUACAUAUGAGAACAUGUUUGUACAGGUAAGGUGGUUACAGAUAGUCUGCAAGCUAUCUUUCUCUCUCUUUCAAUACUAAUCAGUACUAAUUAUUUUUGCUCCAUAAGCUCAUCCUGUCUGCCCCUUCUUCCAUUCUCCAAAGUUUCCUUUUUUUGCUCCAAAGUGAUUGCUAUACAUGAUUACUGUAUACAAUACGACUGCCAGAAAUUCUUGCUGUGCCAAUAAACCACUGAUUAUGGGAAAAUGAGUUAUAAAAAGUAUAGUAAACAAAACAUCAGUCACUUCUUCAUUUAAUGAGAGUCAUUUUGAAUCAGUACAGAUUGGAGGUUUGCAGUACCUUUAAAUGUGAGUAUUUUUAUUUGUGUAUUUUUCUUUUCCAAGUUUAUUUUUGUUCAUAUUGUUUAUAUUUUUUUGUUGUAAAUAUCUAUUUAUUUCGACAAGAGGUCUUCCCGUCAUUUUUUUUUUUUGUAUGAGUCAAGCAUAGCAUAGAACAGCAGAGUACACGGCACGGAGGUCUGUAUCAAUUAAGAGUGAAGCCAUGGAACUCGCAGGUUCCGUACACAUUUAAACAGCAUGUGAGACAUGCAGGUCUCAAUUAUUAUUGGGUUAGUUUUAUGCCAGUUGGUGUUCAUAUUGUUUAAUGUAUACUGUAUGCAUUAGAAAAUGUUAAAUCUACUCUAGAGUCUCUAUUUAAAGGGUUACUCCAACCAUCGUGACCACAUCAGUGAUCUGAAGUGGUCAUGUUGGUAGGAGCCUGGACGUACAGCAUUCUGCUUGAAACAAUGCACAUCUAGAGAUAUUGUUAAUUGUGCGUUGGCGGUUAGAUGCAUCCCCCGCACACAUGACACUGCCAGCUUAGAACUCUGUUCCGUGCUGUCUAAUGUUAAUUCUGUGCAUACUUAACAUCUGUCAUCAGCACACACUGCAUGCUGCCGACAGAUGUUAAAAAGUUCCUUUUGUUGGCAGAGUGCUUACAAGGGGAAGAAAGCUCACCCUCCCUGUGGGCGCUCUCUCCUGUCUCCCUCCAUUGCUGGCUGGUUUUUGUUUUUAAAAAAGCAAUAAAUACCCCUCACACCUCUCUUUCCCUUAACCAUUCCACUCUCUCCACCUCCCUGACGUACAGUGUACAUUGUCUGUCAAAAGUGGUUCUUGCCAUACCAGGUAUUUCACAAAUGAUUCAUUAACAUUCUGGAAUUCCCUGCAGGCAUUAGAUCACCACAACAACUAGUAUUAUCACAGAUAUCUCCAUUUCAAAUGGUAUGUGUUGCAGUUGUGGCAUGUAUCAUGCUGUUAAUGCAGGGGUGGAAAAACUUUAUUGAUAUGAAAUCAGCUUUGCAAGUUGUCAGGUUAACAGUAAUCUACCACUGUUUCAGCACUUCAUUAACCUCUUCACUACCAUGACUUUUUUAUUGAAAAAUAUUUCAUUUAAAUAAAAUUCUAUUUUGUGUAUAUAUUGCUUUGUAGACAAACGUAAAGUUUUUAAAUAUGUAAAUUUACACCAUUUUUAUUUUUUACUUAUUUAAUCAUCCAUUAUAAAAAUAUUUGGGAAAUAAAAGCUUUAGGCAGCAUGCAGUGUCAUAUAUCUUGCGAUAAUUCACACAGGGUCUGAAAUAUUAGUAUAAAAGCUCACAUUCAGUAGGUGUGACAAAAUUAUAUAAGUAAAAAUGGUCAAAAAACCUUGGUUAUAAGUAUUAACAAGGACCCUUAAGGCAUUAAUAGUAGUAGUUUACUAAACAUUCCAACAAAAAGUAAAAAGAAUGUCUGCAUAAUGACCACAUAUAGGAAAUUCAGUUAAUUCAUGUAUUUCUAAAAUAAAGGUAUAUAAAACUGUUGUAGUAAAUCUCUAGAGUGCUAAUGUAAUGCUGUGUGUGUAUGUGAGGUUUGCUGAGUGUGAUUGUAUGUGGAGUUGGUUGAGUGUGAGGGUUGUGAGUGCAAUGUUCCUGCUUAUCUUAAUGCAGAGGAGGGUGUAUAAUCCCUGGUGGUCCCUGUGGGUGCUGCUAGUCACAUCCCUGGUGGUCCAGUGGGGGAGCAUGUGUUCUGCACCUCUGGUGGAUGCAGACCACAUAAACCCUCUUGCAGCCCAGUGCUCACUUAAUGAGUAACAGUAAUUUUAUGGUAAACUGUUGGCCACACUGAUCUAUUCACUGAGCCUGGGAACCACGAAGGAGCACUUAAAGGCAGAGUAAUUUUUUCAGGAUGAGGGGGAUCUGCAUGAUAUUAGACAGGUGGUUAUACCCACAGGCUCCCAAAUAUCAUAUAUACAGUCAUACCCACACUCUUAAAUACAGACUGUCAUACCCACAGACUCCCAGAUAUACAUAAAUGCAGUCAUACUCACAGACUUUCAGAUAUACAUAUACACCAUCAUACCAACAGACUCCCAGAUAUACAUACAUUCAGUCAUACUGGCUGUCAUACCCACAGUCUCCCAUACAUACUUGUAUAAUACCAUGUGAGGACACAGUAUGUUUGUUACACUUUGAGAUUAGUUUUGUUACAAAUUGCAAUUUAUCCGAAUUUGGGAAGACUGAGUGAGUGUUUAAUUCCCAAUCUCUGAGCCGAAAUGUAUCUGAAUCAUAAAAAUGGAAUGUGCUAUGGCUGAGCGUAUUUGUUUUUUUUUUUUUUUUUUGGUAUUCUGCCUGUGGCAACAACAAAAAAGAGGCAUAGUCCUGAUAUCAGGGUCCCGUUCCAAUAUCCCAACUUUGUUCCCGGGUGUCCCGCUUUUAGCGACAAUAGGAGACUGUCCCAACCAUGAACUCAUUCUGCAGAGAGUGCUGAAACUGUGCUCCCUGCAUAAUCUGCUGUUGGCGGGCUGGUCUGUUUGAUUGGCAGACGGUGUGGCAACUCUCCGGGUGCACCCAACUUUCUGAGCAGGGGGGAAGCCACACAGGAGUCCUUCUUUUAUUUUUGCACUGGGGUCCAGUGGUUCCUAGUUACACCCUUGUCUGCUCACCAAUACAUAAUUUUGUACUAAUACCUUGCUUAUAUGUAUUUAUUAUUAUAGCAGUCAGGAUGUUAACUCUGAGAUAGAGAGGACUUUUGCAUGUAGUGUUGUGUGACUGCACGUAGUGUUGACAUUUGUUUGUAGCAGUGUGCUUGUAUGACAUUUUGCUGGGAUGUAUGCACAGAUACACAUAUGCAGCCACACACAAAGUGACACAAUUACACACAUGAUCCACACUGACACACACAGAUACACACAAUCUUACAAACAUAUACCUUCAAAGACACAGAGACACACACAUACAAGUCACAGUUUAUAUAUAUUUAGCCGCCACUCUGCUUCCAUACCUUUGGAGUGCAGGAUGGUGGCUUCCCUGGGCAGGCCAAGGCUGAUGGGAGUCUGAGGCUGUCCAGGCUGUCUGCAGUGCUCUCCAUUGUACCCUCUCUGUGCCUUCUAUGUCCUCCUAGCAAAUGUAGUCUGUAAGCUGUGAUGAAGUGAUAGGAAGUCGCUUCCUCCCAAAAUUGACUGCCAUUGUUAAUAGGGUCCAGUUUUGGUGCUAAAGGGCCACAGCACCCAACCAGGCUCGUGGUCAGACCUGCCUAUCAACAUCUGUGGGGCCUACCCUAUGAGCUACAAUGGUGGUAGUUCCAACGCUGGUCUGUGAGCUCCCUACGGGUGGAUAUUACUAAAAUACAGUGGGAUAUAGAAAUAUUUGAUUGCUACUAUAUUCCUUCUAGUUUAUUGUGAAACUAAAAUCAGGUACGUGGCACCAAAAAAAGUACAUUUAUUUAAUUUAAAUUUCUUCCACUUAAUGCUUCAGAGAAAUAAUUUAGUACAAUGCAUACAUUAAUAUACAAAACAUGAUUAUUCUGUCUACUGCCAAAAAAUAAAGUCACAGUGCUGCCUGAAUUAAACACCAAUAAUCUGUAUGUUUUAUGAUUACACAUUUUAUGGGUCAUCGAUAGUCCUCUGUCUGAAAACUCUCGUCCUAAGCAAAGGUGAAAUAUUUAAAUUCCACAAAUUCACAUUCCUAUUUGUUAACCCCUGGCAGCGAGAAGGCCUGACUUAAUAAUGUCCAUGUGAGCUAAGAUUACUCCGUGUCUGCUAAAGUGGCAAACCACACAUCCUGUGCCAGAACAUAAAUUAAAGCGGAAGAUUUUCCAUAUCUAGUUGGAAAAGGUUUAAUUUACAGCUGUGCCGUUUAACACUCUUUGAAUUCCUGCCUAGCUAUGUGAAUUGUCGAGGUACUUAUUUGCGUAACCUUUAUACCGUUUAUAGAGGUUUUCAGGUGAUAAUUCAUAUUUGAAAUCCAUUAGUUUAUUUAAAUAUUAGUCCUUUGAGAGACGUUUGCCUCUGUUCCCGUUACUUCAGACUCAUGAUACAUCAUUUUAUUGAAUAUGCUACAGUUAACACCAAAGAAAACAAAAAAAAAAAUACAGAUUAGUAUCUAAACUCUAUUCCAUUUAUCUCUGCUGUCUUCUAUAUUAAUGUAUGUAAAGUGAUUGGGUUAGGUAAGUAUUCAUGCAUGUUAUGACAAACGCCCUGUGGUCUGGUCGUUUGCCACAAGCUCCUGGAGGUUGAAUUAAUUGUAUUAUCUCUCAGUACAGAAACAGGCAAUAUAGCAAAACCCCAGAAAUACCCCCAAAACACAUAAAACCCCCCACAAAAGUUACACCCCGAUCUGGGUGACCAACAUAGCCCCAAUCUGGGUGAUUUUUGGAUAUCAGGGGGUGUAACUUUGUGUGAGGGUGACUGGUGACAGACUGUGAUGUGGAGAGGCUGUAAUUAGCCUCCCCACACUCACAUAGUUUGUUUCUUUUUAGUGUUCCAUUCCCUGGUGGUCCAGUGGCUGGCUCUACAGGUCUGCAGCUCCGCCGAGUGUGAGCUGCAGACCAAGUUAUCACGAGCUCGGAUUAGAGCGUUGCCAUGGUAACCCGCAGCAAAGCUCUGGGAGCUCGCAAGUCCUCCAUCACACAGUGUCAUGGUCUUGAUCAGGCUUAUGACAGGGUUAAUGUUUAAAAGUUUAUUUGGGACUUGAGACAUAUUUACACACAAAUUGCAAGCCAAAAAGGGAGGUAAGUAAAACAGGGAGAACAGAAAAGAGAUUAAGGCAAAUGUAAGUAGGAUAACCUAUAAACAGAAUUAUAAGUGAGGUUGACAGAGAACCUAUAAAUUAAAUUAUAGGCAAGAAUAGGGAGUGACAAUAGAAAAGGGAGUUUAGGCAAUAUGCUCCAGAUAGGUUAGAAAUAAGAAUUAGGCAAUUGUAAGCAGGGAAACCUAUAAAUGGAAUUAUAGGUAAUAUUGAGAGAGAACCUAUAAAUCAAACUAUAGGUAAAAAAGAAAGGAUAACAGAAAUAGUGGUUUAAGCAAUAUGCCUCAGAGAGGUUAUAUACAGACAGAUUAUUUACAGAUAUUAGACGAUAGUAAGAAAUCCUAUAUAUGAAAGUAGAGGAUAGAGAAGUAAAACGGAACUAAACAGUAAAGUGUCAGAAUAGCAAACAAAAUAGUAAUUUAGUGAAUCAGUCCCCUGUUUGGAUGGAGCAGUGAAAAGAUAGGCAAAUAACUGUUUGCAAUAUUGGUUAUUUGUGUAAUACAGGGUAAUAUGAUACAGGAUGGUAAUAGCAAGCAGAUUGGUAAGGUAGUCCAGGUUGGUGUGUAGCAGGAUUGUAAAAUAAAUCAGGUUAAAAUCACAAAGCAGGAUAGUGGUAUAAUGCAGGUUGGUUUGUAGAUUUGUUCAGGUUGAAACUAAAGUAGCCUGAUCGAGUAGUCCAGGUUGAUAAUAAGAAGCUUGCUAGCAAUGAAGGUUGGCAAUGUAGAUCGGCUUGGAAUAAAGAGGUUUGGUAGAGAAGAUAUGGUUGAUAUCCAACAGGACAAGAACAAUGCAGGUAAGUUCACAGGAGCCAGGAAACAGAAGUAUUUUCAAAAAAACCAUUGACUUCAAUCUAAAGGCCCUAUCUUGAGCAGGGUGUAGCCUUUUGUAACUUAAGUGAUUAAUCCAGGCAGGUGAAAAUGAGUCUAGAAAAGUUAAGAGCUAAUGGUUAUGUAGGCCUCUAGUGGCAAAACAUAGUCAAGGCGGGAACAUAAUUAAAUGAAAGGGAAUAAAGUUCUGUUAUCAUGGUUUCAAACCUGACACACGGUCUGUAGUUCUGCACUCAGUGAAGCUGCAGACUAGAGGCUCUCCCAGGACAGACUGAUGGAGGGACCCGGCAGCAUACAGGGAAAGCCGCCUGGCCCCUCCUCUUGUUGGGUUCUCAUACACCUCUGCCGCCACUGCUGCAUAUAUAUGCCACCCCUGUUAAAGUGCUGCCUGGGGCCAUUAACCCAGUCCGUCCUAUGGACGGGCCGGCUCUGACUAGCCCCCAGCACACAAUUACAAAUGUCUUUGUAUGUGCAGUGUUUCAAGCUUAAACACUGACUCCUACCACCAUUACCACUUCAAAUAAGUAAUCAUGGUGGUGGGAGUAACCCUUUAAAUAUCUUAACCACUGUGUGUCUGAUGGAGAAGAUUGUUGUUUCUGUCUGAAAUGACAGGUGGCUGAACAGCAGUCAAAAAAAAAAUGUAGUACCAACAAUUGGGGCAUGUAGAAUAUAUUGAUAAACUAGACUUUCUUAUACAGCAAUGCAUUGCUCUUGCACAAAACACCCAAUGACACUUUACUCAAGCCAGGAGCUUCCUCAUUUCUUUCCUUUUCCUUAAUAUUAUGGGGGGUCCUGCUGUAUUAAUUGUUUUAAGCUAUCUGUAUCAUGAAAAGAGCUUGUUCAUUAUUCUAGGAUUGUGAAGAAUUACUAAAGGAACUAAAACAAUUUAUGCUUAUGUAAAUGAGUUCAAAAAAAGCUGAAGUUGGAGAAUUUUUCCAGUUUUGAAUUUUUGUCUAAACCUUUCAAUUCUCUUACCAGUUCCACGCAGCUGUUGAUUUAAUGGAAAAAAAACCUUCACGUUGUAAGAGCAAGUUUAACAAUCAAGUUACAAAAUAGAGUUUAAAAAAAAAUAAAUCUUCAUCAUAAUUUUGCGAUUCAUUUUUGAUUGCAAAUUUCACUGCAAACCACUAUUGUUUUACUAGUGAUACAUCGAUGUAGGCUCCCUCACCUUCCUGGCCCCCAUUACUUGGCACUAGCUGCAUCAAUGACCGUUCUGCUUUUGUUACAACAGCUACUUUUAUUUGUAACAAUGUUUGUUUCUGUGAGUUUAAUCAGAUAAUUUCUUAUUUCCUUCUACUCAGGCUGCAAACUGUGUCCACAAAGACAUUUGAAAGCUCCAGGACAUUGUGAUACGAUGCUCAAAGACUUACUUAAUUCUAUAUAGCUUAGGUACAAAUGUGAGAAUAUUCUGGAUCUUAUCUGUUUUUAACCACUUGACUCUCGGGUUUCAUCAUAAGAUUCCUGACCUAGUGAUUGGAGCACAUUACACAGUUGUUCUUUCAGUUGUACAAAGUAC
rnacentral:lncRNA from 1 species